rnacentral:miRNA from 10 species
UGUGUGUGUGUGUGUGUGUGUGUGUGUGUGUGUGUGUGUGUAGUAGUACGUCUACACACACACACACACACACACACACACACACACACACACAC